AUUUUAUGAAAAUAAACUUGGGACAAGUUCGUCAAAACAACCAUGACAUUAUCAACACGUAAUUGUAAGGAUAAUUUGCGUUUUUUUAUUUUUUUUGCACUCCGUUAAUGGUCCCUUCGCAAACCCGGAAGUGUGACGUAGGCAACAGAAGACUACCCACAGCUAACAUAGCAGCAGCAACGAUGUCAGUGAUAUUUCCACCAAAGGUAACCAUUCAGGAUCGCUCUUUCGUGACGCUACCGAUGGCAAAGGCUCCCAGGAAAGAUGAACUACAAUUAAUCCCUACAUGUUUGAACCUGAGGCGUCAGAUGACAGCGAUUUACUUGACACAGCAGAUGGCAUCAUGACGCCAAUUGACAGCUCGACACUUCACGAACGGGAGAGUGAGUGGUGUUGCUGUAAACCGUCAAGUAAUUACCCUUCCAAGAGUAUGCCUGUGUCAUCAGGAGAUCCCAGACGUGAGAGCCAAACUUGUGGCGGCUGAAGCACCGACAGGGGCAUGAAUUUCAUUAAAAAAAUAAAACCAUAAAUUGUUAACAACAUUGACACAUUUUGUUGACUGUUUAAUGUAUUCUAUUGGUAUAUAAUAUAUUGUAAUUAUAUUACAUUCUGAAAAAAUAUUCAAUAGCCCGCAAUAAUAAAUGAUACCAGGUUUAUGUUGAAUCAGCAUGAGCUUUCGUUGUCAGAUUGUGACACAACAUGUUAUACCAAGCACACAACGGCACACAUCAAAGAGCAUAAUUUUAGUAAGCAACACAAAGUUAGGAUAGCAACGGACUAGCGCAACAUUGAAAAAUGAUAAUGGCAGUGGGAAAUAUGUAUUUACUCUUUUCUGUAGCAUGAAGUGUUCUCUAUACAAAGACAAUGCAUUUUCAUUAAAAUAUGAAGGUAACUUGA